rnacentral:tRNA from 1 species
GAUCCGAUAGCUCAGCUGGGAGAGCGCCACCUUGACAGGGUGGAGGUCGGGGGUUCGAACCCCUCUCGGGUCA